AGAGUUUGAUCCUGGCUCAGAUUGAACGCUGGCGGCAUGCCUUACACAUGCAAGUCGAACGGCAGCACGGGGGCAACCCUGGUGGCGAGUGGCGAACGGGUGAGUAAUAUAUCGGAACGUGCCAAGUAGUGGGGGAUAACUAGUCGAAAGAUUAGCUAAUACCGCAUACGCUCUACGGAGGAAAGUGGGGGAUCGCAAGACCUCAUGCUAUUUGAGCGGCCGAUAUCUGAUUAGCUAGUUGGUGGGGUAAAAGCCCACCAAGGCGACGAUCAGUAGCUGGUCUGAGAGGACGACCAGCCACACUGGGACUGAGACACGGCCCAGACUCCUACGGGAGGCAGCAGUGGGGAAUUUUGGACAAUGGGGGCAACCCUGAUCCAGCAAUGCCGCGUGAGUGAAGAAGGCCUUCGGGUUGUAAAGCUCUUUUGUCAGGGAAGAAACGCGACGAGCUAAUACCUUGUCGUAAUGACGGUACCUGAAGAAUAAGCACCGGCUAACUACGUGCCAGCAGCCGCGGUAAUACGUAGGGUGCAAGCGUUAAUCGGAAUUACUGGGCGUAAAGCGUGCGCAGGCGGUUGUGCAAGACAGAUGUGAAAUCCCCGGGCUUAACCUGGGAAUUGCAUUUGUGACUGCACGGCUAGAGUGUGUCAGAGGGGGGUAGAAUUCCACGUAGCAGUGAAAUGCGUAGAUAUGUGGAGGAAUACCGAUGGCGAAGGCAGCCCCCUGGGAUAACACUGACGCUCAUGCACGAAAGCGUGGGGAGCAAACAGGAUUAGAUACCCUAGUAGUCC
rnacentral:rRNA from 1 species